rnacentral:rRNA from 1 species
GAUGAACGCUGGCGGCGUGCCUAAUACAUGCAAGUCGAGCGAACGGGCGAGAGGCUUGCUUUUCUGAUGUUAGCGGCGGACGGGUGAGUAACACGUGGAUAACCUACCUAUAAGACUGGGAUAACUUCGGGAAACCGGAGCUAAUACCGGAUAAUAUUUUGAACCGCAUGGUUCAAAAGUGAAAGACGGUCUUGCUGUCACUUAUAGAUGGAUCCGCGCUGCAUUAGCUAGUUGGUAAGGUAACGGCUUACCAAGGCAACGAUGCAUAGCCGACCUGAGAGGGUGAUCGGCCACACUGGAACUGAGACACGGUCCAGACUCCUACGGGAGGCAGCAGUAGGGAAUCUUCCGCAAUGGGCGAAAGCCUGACGGAGCAACGCCGCGUGAGUGAUGAAGGUCUUCGGAUCGUAAAACUCUGUUAUUAGGGAAGAACAUAUGUGUAAGUAACUGUGCACAUCUUGACGGUACCUAAUCAGAAAGCCACGGCUAACUACGUG